CUGCUGUUGGUGGAUGUAAGGAAAACUCCAUUUGGAGGAAAGAGGAUACUGAAGUUGAAGCAGCGAAUUCUGAUUGUGUGUGAAUUAUGCAACAAAUAUGUACUUUUAAUACAAUGGUUUAGGCUGACGCAUACAAAGCAGAAAAUCAACAGUUUCCAAAUAAUCUGAGGGACAACUAAAAUAUUUUCAUCCCUACAUCGUCUCGCAGCCGACUGAGCUACAAUGAUAUCCGCAGAUGCCAUCUUUUAGAAGAAAAAGAGCCACGCUGGUUUACAGAGACCUGACUAGAGGCGUGAUAGCACGUCAACUUGGAUCGUCAGGGAUUUUCAUCCCAUGUGUCCCGGUGGGCCUACGAUGGGAGUGGGGGAGACAAGAUGACCAUGACUGUCACAGCCAGUACAACCGUCUUCUGACUGUUGUUGACUUUAGAGGUAGGCCUUAUAUCAAAAUUGUAAACUAAGACAUGUCAUGACGUUGCCCUCUUUGGGUACAGCGAGCACUAUUCCCCCCUCCCUCUGCACCAGCUCUUUUCUAUUCACCAUCCCCCUACCUCUGUCUCCCACACCCAGGCUGCUGUGGUCAGAAGAGGUCGCAAAUUCCUAGGGAAGAUCCUGCCUCAUGGCCAGACAGUAUAGAGAGAGUGAGUUUUAAUAGAGAGAACAAAGGAAUUUCUUCCACCUCACAGAACUGGAGGUCCGAACAGUAUUUAUGUUCUGGAGAAUGUAUAAAAGAUCGGUGAAGAAUCCAGCUACGAACUGGUCCGUUUGGUACAAUUUUGCGAAACUCAUGAGACAAUACGGCCACAUUACCAUAACGCUGUUUAUACAAUACAUCUAAUUGUUGUAUAAAAUGAAUGAGUGAGGAUGGAACUGUUUGUGAAAUUGUGUAAUGUGAUUUUGGACUGUUUAAUGAAGGAAACUCCAAUUCCCUUUGGAGUUUAACUAAAUCAGAGGACCACCCAUGAUCACAGUUAUGGUCUUGCGUCAUGGGACAGGCCCUUUUCUGCUCUUCCCGAAUAAAACCCCCAUCCGGGUUUUCUAUCAUCAGACCAGCUUACCUCGAUAACGAGAGGGCCAAGGUUUCGAGGGGGCUAAGGGUUCGAGACGAGACCAGUACCUCUAUCAUAGAGGUAAAUAAGGUUUAUGUAGAUUUCUGAAUCUGUUAACCAUCCCAUGUGGUUAAACUCUUAGACUAUCGAUACCGACAGAAUAAGAACAAGUCUUUGAUAUUAAUUACUAGUCUGCAGCUAGGAAUUCGGUAUCAUUGAACGCGAAGACCGACAACCGCUGAAACAUCUAUUCUAUAACGACAUGAAUGAAUGUCACUCUGAACUAUCCAUUCUAACCACGACAGAGAGAGGGCGGACAAACUCUCCAACAGAAACAAACUUUUCAACAGAGAUCCCGACGACACACUGAGCAUAAAUAUAUAUAUUGAUUGCAAUUAUUCCCGAAUGAGUGAGCGUUCAUGUGCAAAGGAUUAGCAUUUCAAUUGUUAUAAUUAUCAACUUUGUAGUGUCUCUUAUCUUUGGCGCCCUUAUCAGUCCCUGUCUAACAAGCAGCCAUGCCGGUUUAGCCCACUAAGGCACAUCCCCCUAUCAUUUCUUUGUAACCAUAUCUACUUUGUUUGUGUUAUGCAUUUCUGUGAGUACUUAGUUAGCAAAUAAAUUAUUUGAAGACAAUUGAUGACUCAUAGUGAAGACUGGGUUCGUGCAGAUAACCAACAAUUUACGACGUUUUGAAUGAGACUAACGUGAGGUAAAGAAUAAUUCAUUAAUCAGAAGACUAAGUGAUCAGAUAUUAAAAUACCUGAAAGUUAUAUUAGGAAAAUUAUAACUUUGUAAUCUGAAUAUUUUCCUUGGUGCCCCGACUUCCUAGUUAAUUACAGUUACAUGAUUAAGUAGUUUAAUCACGUAAUAAUAAUUACAGAGCAUUUUUGAUAAAGAUUCAUCUUCAGUUUAAUGAUGCCAAAGACAACAGACAUCUGGCUCCUUUAACAUCUUGCAAACUGUCUCAGAGCAUCAAGUGUAGCAGCACCAUGCUCAGAGACAGUUUCUCCCUCCAAGCCAUAAGACUGUUGAUGAAAACUGAACUGAAUCUUUGCUGCUUUGGCACCUACUGCACUGUACUUAAUAUCCAGUAGUUAUCUACUUCAUGAAGCUGGUUGAGAGAUGCACAUUUGUGGCCUGCUGGAGGUCAUUUUGCAGGGCGCUGGUGUAACAGUAUAACUUUAAACCGUCCCCUCGCCCCGACACGGGCGCGAACCAGGGACCCUCUGCACACAUCAACAACAGUCGCCCACGAAGCGUCGUUACCCAUCGCUCCACAAAAGCCGCGGCCCUUGCAGAGCAAGGGGAAACCCUACUUAAGUCUCAGAGCAAGUGACGUAACUGAUUGAAAUGCUACUAGCGCGUACCCGCUAACUAGCUAGCCAUUUCACAUCCGUUACACUGGCAGUGCACCUCCUUGCACAAAGGCGGAGGUAGCGGUCCUGCUGCUGGGUUGUUGCCCUCCUACGGCCUCCUCCACGUCUCCUGAUGUACUGGCCUGUCUCCUGGUAGCGCCUCCAUGCUCUGGACACUACGCUGACAGACACAGCAAACCUUUUUGCCACAGCUCGCAUUGAUGUGCCAUCCUGGAUGAACUGCACUACCUGAGCCACUUGUGUGGGUUGUAGACUCCGUCUCAUGCUACCACUAGAGUGAGAGCACCACCAGCAUUCAAAAGUGACCAAAACAUCAGCCAGGAAGCAUAGGAACUGAGAAGUGGUCUGUGAUCACCACCUGCAGAAUCACUCCUUUUUUGGGGGUCUCUUGCUAAUUGCCUAUAAUUUCCACCUUUUGUCUAUUCCAUUUGCACAACAGCAUGUGACAUUUAUUGUCAAUCAGUGUUGCUUCCUAAGUGGACAGUUUGAUUUCACAGAAGUGUGAUUGACUUGGAGUUACAUUGUGUUGUUUAAGUGUUCCCUUUAUUUUUUUGAGCAGUGUAUAUUUAGAUUUGUUUAACACUGUUUUUGGUUACUACAUGAUUCCAUAUGUGUUAUUUCAUAGUUUUGAUGUCUUCACUAUUAUUCUACAAUGUAGAAAAUAGUAAAAAUAAAGAGAAACCCUUCAAUGAGUAGGUUUGUUCAAACUUUUGACUGGUACUGUAUCUUAAUUCAGUGUUAUAUAUGGAUCAGUAUUCAUAUCACAGACUUCAUAUGAGAAGUGGACCAUAAUCAGCUAAGAAAUCACAAAGGCAUAAUACAAGAUUACACACAAGGCAAGCCCUGUGGCAGAUGAUACUGACUUCACAUUAUUCACAUCCAGUCAUAGAUGCAAUAAGGCAUGUUUCAGUAUAAGCUUUGUGCCCUUAGCCAUUAACACACUAAAAGCCUACUCCACUGAUUAUUGUUAGGACUUACUAGUGAGGUAGUUUCCAUGAUAUGUUGGCUUAUGCGGUACACUAUUGUUCUGUUACUGUGUUGUUAUUGACAUGGUGAUUUUGCUUCUUUUGGUAAGUAACCUUGUAACAAUGGGCUGUAAAAUCAGAACAUUGAACAAACAGAAAUUUGACCUGGUGACAUGGUGCUGAUAUACAGUAUAUAGAUGAUAAGAACAUUAUAACAAUAUUACAAGGGCGUAUGUAUUCAAGUAUGUUGUACUGGAGUAGGGUGAUGUUUAACUUGUGAGUUGCACCAAAGAGCUAGAGAAGGAGCUUGAAAAUCAAAUCAAAUUUUAUUGGUCACAUACACCUGGUUAGCAGAUGUUAAUGCGAGGGUAGCGAAAUGCUUGUGCUUCUAGUUCCGACCAUGCAAUAAUAUCUAAGUGAGUACAAUGCAGAUGGCUAUAUUUUGCCACCCUGCUCCCCAGCUCUACCCUUACAUUUUUGACAAUGGAUGUUGACUUUAACGGAAUGUAGAUAUGAAGCCACAAUUUUACUCCUCAAAGACAUGUGAGAUCCAUCGCACCACCUUUACGACCUCCCUCCACUCAGAGAGCACUGACAGUUCACAGCUUCUCAGUUCCACCUGCUAUAGGACAAAGCCAUUCCAACCAUUUCCUAUAUUCUGCCAUCAGACUAUACUGGUAGAGAUACAUUUAACUUCUACAUGAUUCUAUGAUAUAUUCAAAUCAAAUGUUAUUGUUUGCAUACACAUAUUUAGCAGAUGUUAUUGCAGGUGUAGUGAAAUGUUUGUGUUCCUAGCUCCAACAGUGCAGUAGUAUCUGACCAUUCACAACAAUACACACAAAUAUCUAAUUAAAAUUAUGGAAUUAAGAAAUAUUAGGACUAGCAAUGUCGGAGUGGCAUUGACUAAAAUACAGUAGAAUUGAAUACAGUAUAUACAUAUGAAAUUAGUAAAACAGUAUUAAAGUGACCAGUGUUCCCUGUCUAUGUACAUAGGGUAGCAGCCUCUAAGGUGCAGGGUUGAGUAACCGUGUGGUAGACGUCUACCGACAGUGACUAAGUUCAGGGCAGGGUACUGGGUGGAGGCCGGCUAGUGAUGGCUAUAUAACAGUCUGAUGGCCUUGAGAUGGAAGCUGUUUUUCAGUCUUUCGGUCCCAGCUUUGAUGCACCUGUACUGACCUUGCCUUCUGGAUGAUAGGGGGUGAACAGGCCAUGGCUCGGGUGGUUGUUGUCCUUGAUGAUCUUUUUGGCCUUCAUGUGACAUUGGGUGCUGUCGGUGUCCUGGAGGGCAGGCAGUGUGCCCCGAGUGAUGCGUUGGGCAGUUGCGGGCGGUGCAGUUGCUGUACCAGGCACUGAUAAAGCCCGACAGGAUGCUCUCAAUGGUGCAUCUGAAAAAGUUUGAGUCUUAGGGGCCAAGCCAAAUUUCUUCAGCCUCCUGAGGUUGAAGAUGCUCUGUUGUGCAUUCUUCACCACGUCAUCUGUGUGGGUGGACCAUUUCAGAUUUUCACUGAGGUGUACGCCUUGGAACUUGAAGCUUUUCACCUUCUCCACUGCGGUCUCGUCUGUGAAUGGGAGCGUGCUCCCUCUGCUGUCUCCUGAACUCCACGAUUAGCUCUUUUGUUUUGUUGACAGAAAAGUUAUUUUCCUGGCACAGCUGUAUAAUGUUUUUUUUUUCAUGUUGCUGUUCUAUAUUGUUUUGUCUCUUGCAACUCAAGAGUCUAUGCAAUUCAUAAUGUGCCUUAAAAUGUUCUACUUGUCUACUAAUAAAUUCAAACUUUGUGGGAGUUUUUGCCUAUCAUGCUAUACCAAAAGUAAUUACCACCAACUCUGUUUGGCAAUAAAGUAUUGCUGCGACCAGUGUAACAGACAAAUCUAAAGACACUACACACAGACGAGAUGGGAUACCACAACCAGUCCGUCACAUCAUUCCUUUUUAUCUUUCAUGUGAGCAGAGGCAGUCUGUCUGAAUUCAUAAAGUUCAAUCUGGGUCGGUCAACGGCCAAUGCGGGAGACUGCUCUCUACACAAAAACAAAACUGAAAGUAUAGAAGUGCAAAUGAGCCGUCGUGGGGCAGUGUGUCCGCAAAAGCCUGGGACUUGGUUGGAGGCAGUACAGGGUUGUAUUCACUAAGCACUAAACAGAAUGAAAACGGACUGAAACUGCAAGGGACUACCUGAACUUGUCCUAUAUGUUUUUAGUUUUCCAUUGCAAAAGGGAGUUUUGCUACAGUCCACACCAAUAAAUACAACCUAGUACUUACAUAAUUUAUUUUUGAUUUUACCUUUAUUUAACUAGGCAAGUCAGUUAAGAACAAAUUCUUAUUUUCAAUGACGCCUAGGAACAGUGGUUUAACUGCCUUGUUCAGGGGCAGAACAACAGAUUUUUACCUUGUCAGCUCGGGGAUUCGAUCUUGCGGUUACAAGUCCAACGCUCUAACCACUAGGUUACCUGCCGCCCCAUAAGUUACAAUAGAGCUACCUAACCCUCUUCAUGGAGAUCUACCAUCCGGUGGGUAUUCAGUCCAACCCUAACCUAACAUACCUGAUUCAGCUAGUCUAGGGUCAUGUUCCAGGCCCUGACCAAAUUGCAGAUAAUGCAUUGCAUCAACCAAUAGUUACAAAGUACAUAAUUUGCAUGCCACGUCAUCGACUGCGCAGUCGAGCAUUAGAUUGCUAUACCGCUAUAUCAUAUGGGUGGCAUUCCUGCCAGACUACAUUUCAGACACCUGCCAGAUCUCGCAAAGCUUGGAUAGGUGUUUAUUUUACCUUUAUUUAACUAGACAAGUGAGUUAAGAACAAAUUCUUAUUUACAAUGAUGGUCUACCAAAAGGCAAACUACGGGGACGGGUGCUGGGAUUAAAAAUAAAAAUAUAGAACAAAACACACAACACAUCACAUAACAUAUCAGCUAACCACAUCAUAUGAUAUAGUGAUGUAAUGCCCGAUAGUCAAUGACGUGGCGCACAACAAUUGGUUGAUGCAAUGCAACGUCUUCAAUGUAAUCAGGCAGGAACAGUGAUGCCAAUUUAGCAACUUUUCAGACUACCCUGGCAACCUUUUUUUCAAACAGCACCUAGCAACAAAUUUAGCUACUUUUAAAAAUGUAUUUGGAACUUUUAGCAACUUUUGAAAAGAGACUCAAACGCUAAAAUGCAUGCAUUUUCCCUCUAAAUGACACAAAAACGAUUUUCUCUGUCACACAUUCAGUAACAACACACGUGCCUGGCUGCAAAAGUGCAUUGUGAGUGACGUCAGCAGCAGGCGCUCAGCUCUUACACAGGCAGCAGCAGGCUUAUAUCCAAAUGUAUUGAUAGUGAGUGUGUUACUACAAAUAUCUGCACUACUCCCCUCACAGACCAUAGGGCCAUUUACAUUGGUAUCAAAAUAUUUACCCCUGAUACUAACCUUGGCAGAGCAUCUUACUGGAAGCUAAAUAGCUCAUUAUUAAAUAAUGAUAUAGUUAAAUUUGAGGUUAAAGAUCUGCUCUCACACUUUUGGGAAAGGGCUUGUGAAGAAAAAUCUUAUUGCAAGAACUGGGAGCGCUUUACAUUUGAGGUAGUAAUCUUGCUAAGACCAGAAGAGCUGAGGAGGAAAAGGUGAUCAUUAAGAUAACUUCCCUUUCUCAGAGGUCCCCAGCCGGCCUCUCGGGGGAGGAGAAGAUGGAACAAAUUGAGUUACAAAAUAAACUGGAUAAUAUACACUGCUCAAAAAAAUAAAGGGAACACUUAUUAAACAACACAAUGUAACUCCAAGUCAAUCACACUUCUGUGAAAUCAAACUGUCCACUUAGGAAGCAACACUGAUUGACAAUAAAUUUCACAUGCUGUUGUGCAAAUGGAAUAGACAACAGGUGGAAAUUAUAGGCAAUUAGCAAGACACCCCCAAUAAAGGAGUCGUUCUGCAGGUGGUGACCACAGACCACUUCUCAGUCCCUAUGCUUCCUGGCUGAUGUUUUGGUCACUUUUGAAUGCUGGCGGUGCUUUCACUCUAGUGGUAGCAUGAGACGGAGUCUACAACCCACACAAGUGGCUCAGGUAGUGCAGCUCAUCCAGGAUGGCACAUCAAUGCGAGCUGUGGCAAGAAGGUUUGCUGUGUCUGUCAGCGUAGUGUCCAGAGCAUGGAGGCGCUACCAGAAGACAGGCCAGUACAUCAGGAGACGUGGAGGAGGCCGUAGGAGGGCAACAAUCCAGCAGCAGGACCGCUACCUCCGCCUUUGUGCAAGGAGGAGCAGGAGGAGCACUGCCAGAGCCCUGCAAAAUGACCUCCAGCAGGCCACAAAUGUGCAUGUGUCUGCUCAAACGGUCAGAAACAGACUCCAUGAGGGUGGUAUGAGGGCCCGACGUCCUCAGGUCGGGGUUGUGCUUACAGCCCAACACCGUGCAGGACGUUUGGCAUUUGCCAGAGAACACCAAGAUUGGCAAAUUCGCCACUGACGCCCUGUGCUCUUCACAAAUGAAAGCAGGUUCACACUGAGCACAUGUGACAGACGUGACAGAGUCUGGAGACGCCAUGGAAAACAUUCUGCUGCCUGCAACAUCCUCCAGCAUGACCGGUUUGGCGGUGGGUCAGUCAUGGUGUGGGGUGGCAUUUCUUUGGGGGGCCGCACAGCCCUCCAUGUGCUCGCCAGAGGUAGCCUGACUGCCAUUAGGUACCGAGAUGAGAUCCUCAGACCCCUUGUGAGACCAUAUGCUGGUGCGGUUGGCCCUGGGUUCCUCCUAAUGCAAGACAAUGCUAGACCUCAUGUGGCUGGAGUGUGUCAGCAGUUCCUGCAAGAGGAAGGCAUUGAUGCUAUGGACUGGCCCGCCCGUUCCCCAGACCUGAAUCCAAUUGAGCACAUCUGGGACAUCAUGUCUCGCUCCAUCCACCAACGCCACGUUGCACCACAGACUGUCCAGGAGUUGGCGGAUGCUUUAGUCCAGGUCUGGGAGGAGGUCCCUCAGGAGACCAUCCGCCACCUCAUCAGGAGCAUGCCCAGGCAUUGUAGGGAGGUCAUACAGGCACGUGGAGGUCACACACACUACUGAGCCUUAUUUUGACUUGUUUUAAGGACAUUACAUCAAAGUUGGAUCAACCUGUAGUGUGGUUUUCCAGAUUUGUGACUCCAAAUCCAGACCUCCAUGGGUUGAUAAAUUUGAUUUCCAUUGAUCAUUUUUGUGUGAUUUUGUUGUCAGCACAUUCAACUAUGUAAAGAAAAAAGUAUUUAAUAAGAAUAUUUCAUUCAUUCAGAUCUAGGAUGUCAGGGUUGUGUGCAGAGAUGUAGGGGAGUCAAUCGCAGGACACAAGUGUUGAGCAAAAUUAACGGCGUUUACUCAAAACUUAAGCAAAAAUUCCACAAUGGGAAUAUAAUAAACACACAAGCACAAACAACAACCACUAAUGAAAUAAACAAUCACGGACAGAACAGAAAUGAAUGCCAGAGGGUUAUAUAGGGAACAUGAUAGGGGAAUUGAAACCAGGUGUGUGUAAUACAGACAAAACAAAACGAAACAGAAAAAUGGAUCGGUAGUGACUAGAAAGCCGGUGACGUCGACCGCCGAACACCACCCGAACACGGAGAAGGGCCGACUUCGGCGGAAGUCGUGACAUAGGAUGUGUUAUUUUAGUGUUCCCUUCAUUUUUUUGAGCAGUGUAUAUAGAUUAAAAGCAGAAGGAGCCUUUACUAGAUCUAGGAAAAAAUUGAUUGAGGAGGGAGAACAGAAUUCAUCCUAUUUCUUUAGACUUGAGAAAUGUCAUUCUAAAAAUAACACUAUCCAUAAAUUAAACAUUGAUGGUGUUAUUACAGAUGACCAAAAAUGAAUCGCUAAAUACUGUAGCAAUUUUUACAGAAAAUUGUAUAGCUCUACGUACUGUCAGGAAUCCACAGAUAUGUUUUUUAAGUCACUGAAUAAUGUUCACUCUCAGUGAUAUAGAAUCUAAAUAGUGUGAUGAACCCAUCAAAGUUGAAGAGAUUAUAGAGUCUAUCAAACAUCUAAAGAACAAUAAAUCACCAGGUGUUGAUGGAAUUACAUCAGAAUUUUACAAAUGAUUUCCUGAACAAGUAGCUCCCUUCCUAUUUGAAGUCUUUUUAGAGAGUAUUAAAAACAAUGUUCUCCCUCCUAAAAUGAGUCAGGGGUUAAUAACACUGAUACCUAAGCCUAAAAAAGAAGUGCUGCUCAUUGAUAACUGGCGUCCAAUUUGUCUUUUUAAUAAUGACUAUAAGAUAUUAGCCUUAAGUCCUGGAUGCAAUCACUGAUGAAACACAGUCUGGCUUCAUGAGGAACAGACAUAUUUCUAACAAUGUCAGACUAGUAUUAGACAUACUUGACUACUGAGACCUAAUAACUGAGGAGAGCUUCAUGUUAUUUUUGGAUUUUUAUAAAGCAUUUGACACAGUAGAGCAUCAGUUUCUCUUCCACUCCCUUGAGAGACUUGGCUUUGGGGAUUUUUUCUGUAAGGCUAUUAAGACUCUCUAUGCAAAAGACUCUAUGUAAACUCUCUAUCAAAUUGAAAUAUGGCACCUCACCUAUUUGAGUUAAAGAGAGGAAUUAGGCAAGGUUGUCCUAUCUCCCCGUACCUGUUUUUAUUAAUCACCCAACUUCUUGCAAAUUCUUUAAAUAGUAGUCCUGUACAAGGUAUUUCCAUAGCUGGUAAAUAAAUUAUUAUAAGCCAGCUGGCUGAUGAUACUACACUUUUUCUGAAAGACGCUAACCAAAUUCCCAUAUCGAUCAAUGUGAUGCAAUCCUUUUCCAAAGCGUCUGGUCUAUAUCGUAAUAUUAAUAAAUGUGAACUCAUAGCUGUCAAAAAUUGUGUGACACCUUCAUAUUAUGGUAUUCCAGUAAAAGAAGAACUUACAUAUUUAGGUAUAACCAUUACAAAGGAUCAGAAGUCUAGAGGCUUACUAAAUUUUAACCCUCUUAUUAAAAAUACCCAGAAGAAGCUAAAUCAAUAGCUACAGAGGGACUUAUCUUUAAAAGGUAGAGUCCUAAUAACCAAGGCCGAAGGUAUCUCUAGACUAACAUAUGGCGCUCUAUCUUUAUAUCUUGACAGUAAAAUAAGCAAGGAGAUAGACCAGAUGCUUUUCACCUUUCUUUGGAGAAACCGUACCCAUUACAUUAGGAAAACUGUUGUAAUGAACAUUUAUGAGAAUGCUGGACUGAAUUUUCUGGACUUUACUACUUUAAAUAAUACUUUUAAGAUCAAUUGGAUAAAACAAUUCCUAAGAAGACCCACUUCUAUCUGGAAUUUUAUUCCUCAUCAUGUCUUCUCUACUUUUGGUGGCCUUAACUUAAUGUUGUUUUGCAAUUAUAAUAUUGACAAAAUUCCAGUGAAACUUUCUGCUUUUCAUCGGCAGGUUGUCAUGGUCCUUAAUUUAUAAACACAAUUUUUCUCCACACAGAUAUUAUAUAUGGAAUAAUCGGGAUAUAUUGUAUAAAAAUACAAUUUGUUUUUAGAAUAUUGGUUCUGAAAUAAUAUCCUAUUGGUGAGCCAACUGGUUAAUGCAGAUGGUCUUUUACUCAGUUAUAAGGAAUUCUUAUCACUUUACAAGGUCCCUGUAACACCUAAAGAUUUUGCAAUUGUUUUAGAUGCCAUUCCCUCAGGUGUUGCUCUGUUAUUCAGGAACGUGUCAAGACCUGAGCCUCAGAGCCUACCUUCUAUUGACCCUGUUGACUCAUCAAUAGGAAAGAUUUGUUUCUCUUUUGGUCCAUUCAACAACAGAUUCGAUACGAACCUUGUUUCAGCAGAAUGUUGUAUCUAUACCUUAUGUCAUGCCUUAUUGGAAUGGAUUUAUUGAUAAUAUCUGUUGGAAAAAAGUUUGGAUGUUGCCACACACAUACCUACUUGUUAACAAAAUUAAGGAAGUUUCCUUUAAAAUUAUUCAUAAAUACUAUCCUGCCAACCACUAUAUGAAGAAGUUUAAGGAAAACAUCAACUCAAAUUGAUCCUUUUGUAAUGACCACCCAGAAACAGUGUUGCAUCUUUUUUGGCAUUGUAUUCAUGUAAGAGAACUGUGGCAAGACAUCAGUAGAUUUAUAAUUGAACACAUUUAUGAAGAUUUUACACUAUUGUUGUCACGACUUCCGCCGAAGUUGGCUCCCCUGCCUGUUGGGGCGGUGCUCGGCGGUCGUUGUCACCGGCCUACUAGCCGCCAGCGAUCCCUUUUUCGUUUGUCUGUUUGUUUUGUCUUAUUAGUUUCACCUGUGUCCUGUUGUAUGUUCUUAAUGAGCUUCCUUAUUUUAAGGACGUGUACCCGCCCUUGUUUUGUGUGGGAUUGUCUUUUGUUACGUGUGUGCGUUUAGGUAGAGGUGGUUAUUUUCAGGACUUGACACCCUGUGUUUUGGGUAGUCAUAUUUUCUGUCUGCGCCCUGUGUUGUUUGGGCUUGUCUAUUUUGUGCCAUAUUAAAGAGCACUUUUUCCCAGUGGAACUCUCUGCGCCUGAUUCCUUCUUCACCCACCCAGUCCCGCGUGACAAUUGUGGAGUACUGCUUACUGCUUGGAUUCUUUACAUGCGAUAGAAAUAAGCUGAAACAUUUUUAUGUAAUUAAUUUCAUUAUUCUUUUGGCCAAAUUUCAUAUACAUAAAUGUAAAUUUACAAACAAAAAAACACAUUUCUUACCCUACAAAAAGAAAUUGAACUGUAUUUUAAGACAGUUAAAUACUCUACUAACAAAAAGCUGUUAGAAUUGUAAGUGUAUGUAUGUCCCUUAAGGUGCUUGUGUAAUUGUAAUGUGAUAUUGUACCCCCUAGCUCGAUUGUCAAUUGUAUAUAAUCUAUAUAUACACUUGUGUUCCCUCAUGUACUUUCUGUAUUGAUUUGAUGUUAAUAAAAAAAAUACACAAAAAACAGGCAGCAGCAGGCCAGCAGCAAUUUCAACAAAUUGCAAAUCAUUGUUGGCUGACUGCAGCAGCAGUAGUACGGAUUCGAUGAGCCAAACCCAAUGAAUAUAGUUGGUCACGAAUGUUUGAUCUUGAACAAAACUUACAAAAUAAAUCAACAUGAGUCAAUCAAAAUUGUACAGCCAGAAGUACAGAAAAGAGUGGGAGUCUGUACCUGGACAAAUCAUAUUUUUUGCCGAGAUGGCCAGUCACUUUGAGUAACAUUAUUGUGUAUUCUACGUAAUGACGUAGUUUUACGUUAUCACGUAAUGACAUCACAACGUUAUUUAGCAACUUUUAGCAACAAAUCAGCCUGCCUCUAGCAACUUACCCUGAAAAUGAGUUGGCAACACUGGGCAGGUACACCACCAGUAUGUGGUUAGUUGAAAUGUUCAACACUAGCCUUGCGUGGCCAUCCUUCCAAAUCUUGUCUCAUUGAAUUGUGUUGGAAGUCUGGAGAAAUCCAGUAUAGGAUUCUGGGUUUGAAUGAGAGUGUAGGUUUUUGUUCAAACCUUUAUCUAGCGCACCUAACUAACUGGUUGAUAAACUGAAUCACGUUAGUUGCUACUGGGUUUGGAGCAAAAAUCUACAGGAUGGUAGUUCUCCAGGAACAGAGUUGGUCAGCCCUGCAAUAGUGAUUUGGGAUUUGUAAAAAAUAAAAUUAGAGGCCAAUAGAUCAUCAAAUAAUCAGAACGAUUUAUGAUAUGUUACAUUUUCAAGCGUUGUAAUACACGCAUAAAUUAAGAAGCAAUCUGCAACGCGCCCGCAGCCUAGCAAUGAAUGCACCCAUGUUGAACUGCAACGCGCUGGAGGGCUAGCAAUGUCAGUCAAGAUAGCCAGCUGGGCCACGAGUUGCCGGAUCUCAUUCAGAGGUGACAUGUUUUUAUUAAUUUAGGAGCUGCAAAUGCAAUGCUCACUUAUUUAUCUAUUACCGUUUUGCUUCCAUUGGCGGCCAAGCUGGAAAUAUGAUCUCGCGUGAUUGUGUCAGUCAAUACAGUACAUCUACACCACGUUAUGAAACGUUGAUUUGAACCUGGCGUGAUUUCUGAUAAUAGUUCUAGAUUAUAUCGAAUGAUUGCAAUUUUAUGGGGUGCAAGCUCAGCCAUCCACACAACGGUCGCGCGUGCAAUUAAUUAUUGAAUUGGGAACAUUUUCACGCUGUGAGAAAAGUUACAACAUGACGUCAUAAUCACAACAGUCGUUUGGAUGGGAACUAUUUCACACUGGGAAUAUUUUUGCAAGAUACAACAGGCACACCAGGGUGUGUUAAGAACUGCAACACUGCUGUGUUUUCCCACUCGUAAAAGUUUCCUAUGUGUAUCAAGAAUGUUCCACCACCCAAAGGACACCCAGCCAACUUGACACAACUGUGGGAAGCAUUGGAGUCAACAUGGACCAGCAUCCCUGUGGAACUCUUGACACCUUGCAGAGUCCAUGCCCCAACGAAUUGAUUCUGUUCUGAGGGCAAAAGGGGGUGCAACUCAAUAUUAGGAAGGUGUUCCUAAUGUUUUGUACACUCAGUGUGUAUAUAUACACUGCUC